rnacentral:lncRNA from 1 species
CCGCAGCUUCCUGCUCCCGUGGUUGUGAAAGCAGAAAGGCCCAGGCCAUCCACAGUGCACCACCAUCACCAUUACUCUCCCCCAGGGGUGCUACCCCCCAUUGGAUAUUCUGUGUGGCCCCCAGCAGUACAGUCCGGUCUCAUGGGACAGAAUGGAGCAUUCCCAUCCAUGGUGCAUCAUUUGCCCGGAAGCACACUCCCUGUGGUGCAUACAAAUGGAUGGACUUCUCCCCAGGCUGCCCCCGGGUCUGUAGAGCCCUCAAGCCCUUAGCAGAGGUGGCCUGAGUACUGACAGUACAUGUUUCUCUACAAGUGGACCAUGGCCUCACUGAGGUCAACUUCCACAGAACAGUUCCUGAAUAGUCUGACAGCCUGAUGUCUAUACAACUGCACAUUGCUGGUGCAAGAAGUGAGCAGGA